rnacentral:rRNA from 1 species
UGAAGGGAGUUGCUCCUAGUACGAGAGGACCGGAGUGAACGAACCUCUGGUGUUCGGGUUGUCACGCCAGUGGCACUGCCCGGUAGCUAAGUUCGGAAUCGAUAACCGCUGAAAGCAUCUAAGCGGGAAGCGAGCCCUGAGAUGAGUCAUCCCUGACCCCUUGAGGGUCCUAAAGGGCCGUUGGAGACCACAACGUUGAUAGGCGGGGUGUGUAAGUGCAGCGAUGCAUUGAGCUAACCCGUACUAAUUACCCGUGAGGCUUAACCAUACAACACCCAAGAAGUGUUCU